GCAGGUAUGGCCAAGUGGUUAAGGCUCCGGAUUGUGGUUCCGGCAUUCGUGGGUUCGAGUCCCAUUACCUGCCCCA
rnacentral:tRNA from 1 species